rnacentral:lncRNA from 1 species
GCAGCAGAUCUGGAUCUUCCAGACUAGCCUUUCACCACCGCCGCUGCCGCUCCCCCGCCGUCCACCGCCUUUCACCACCGUCCUGCCUCUCCCCCGUCUCGAUGCCCACAAAGAUGCGAAGAAAGGAAGUCAAGCUCGCAGCAGAUCUGGAUCUUCCAGACUAGCCUUUCACCACCGCCGCUGCCGCUCCCCCGCCGGCGGAUCCGGUGGCCUGGUACAUGGUGGCGGCGAGGGCGGUGCCGGUUCAAAUAUCUCUGUUCAUGAGUGAUGGUAAUGAUGUUUGUGGCGACGGUUUUGAGUGGAGGAUUGCGAUGGGUCUGGUGGUGGCGGCGGUUUUGGGUGGAGGAUUGCGAUGGGUCUGCUGGCGGCGGCGGUUUUGGGUGGAAGAUUCCGAUGGGUUUGUUGAAUUCGCGUAGAAAAAGAAAUUCGCGCAGGCAGGGCCUUAAUCGACUACGUGUGUUUAAUCGACUAUGUUCAAUAGUCGAUUAAGGCUUAAUCGACUAUGUUCAGUAGUCGAUUAAGGUUGACCGACUCCAGUUGUUAAUUUUUUUUUUUUUUUUGAUUUUUUGU